CAGCGCGACAAGUGUCGACAUCGAGGAACACCUGUACAAGCUUGCAAAGGAAAUGGGUAUAACGGUCAUCACAUCUUCUCAACGGCCCGCAUUAAUUCCAUUCCAUUCCAUGGAACUGAGAAUGAUUGAUGGUGAGGGUAAAUGGCAGUUAUGUUCCAUCAUCAGUGAACAUUCUUGACUAAAUACUAUGAUUUACACAAUCCAAAAGUAUUAUACCCGAUAUUGAUCAGCAGAUAAGCAAAUAAUGACAAGGCAGCUUCUGCCAUCAACUUUGGAAUUUUAUUCUGGCACCAUUUUCAGGAAUUAUAUUUAAAUUUUUUUGGAAUUUUUUGUGCUGGAAGAAGAUCCGAGUCUUGGCAUAAAUAUGGUGGCAAUGGACUCGGCUGCAGAUUCAGUUUUCAGGUGACUUUGUAAGAAAGCAUCAGGACGCUAAUGUUUAAAUAACUCUGUAUACACACUUAGGCAUGGUGUAUAGAUUAGCUAGUUGAUUUUUCUAUGGUAUUAUUAGAUUACAAUCCAUUUAUAUCUAUAGAAGAAAUAAUUUAAUUUCAUUUAUUUUUUCUCUUAUAUUAUUCUAACUCAUGUUGUAUGGGAGGUUCCCCAACCAUAUCUAUAAUGCUAUUGUAUGUAGGAG